UACGAAGGGGGCUAGCGUCGCUCGGAAUCACUGGGCGUAAAGCGCACGUAGGCGGCUUUCUAAGUCAGGGGUGAAAUCCUGGAGCUCAACUCCAGAACUGCCUUUGAUACUGGGGAUCUCGAGUCCGGGAGAGGUGAGUGGAACUCCGAGUGUAGAGGUGAAAUUCGUAGAUAUUCGGAAGAACACCAGUGGCGAAGGCGGCUCACUGGCCCGGUACUGACGCUGAGGUGCGAAAAGCGUGGGGAGCAAACAGG
rnacentral:rRNA from 1 species